ACGCUCGACACCUAAGGCAGCAGUGGGGAAUAUUGCACAAUGGGGGAAACCCUGAUGCAGCGACGCCGCGUGAAGGAAGAAGUAUUUCGGUAUGUAAACUUCUAUCAGCAGGGAAGAAGAUGACGGUACCUGACUAAGAAGCCCCGGCUAACUACGUGCCAGCAGCCGCGGUAAUCUGAGCGGGCUGGCAAGGC
rnacentral:rRNA from 1 species